rnacentral:piRNA from 1 species
GAUGUGACAGGACAACAGACUUCACCU